AUUAAAGCCAAGGAGAGCAUCUCCGUUUUGAAAAGGAAAUCGGAAGCGCGUGGCUGCUGACCUCCAAAGAGCUGCUUCCAUUUCACAUUUACAAGUGGAGCGCCACAAUCCAGAUGUAGGGCUCGUUGCUCCAGAAGAUCAGCAGCCUUAGCGGGGUUCACCUGCGGAACCAUGGUGGCUGGGAAGAAAGCAGGCUCCUUGGCAGCGGUGCACAGGGCUGCGGGGCUGUGCUUGGACGAGUCGAGUCUGUACACGGGUGGGUCAUGACCAUCGCUCCCUAAGAAAGAGCCGAGGUCAGAGACCUCACUUGUGGAAAUUGCCUUGCUUGGUCCCCAGCUGUUGGAGUAACUCAGCUUGCGGGGCUGGAUCUCAACGCAGACUGCUCCGAGGUCUCGUUUUCCGGUCAGUAGCCACAAGGCCCCUGCUGUUGUGCUCACUCCAUGGAGACAUGCUACGGACACAGCGAGACGGGACCAGCCCUGUCUCCCCCUGACUUCACCACACAGCCAUGUGGUCUUGCCAAAGCCCCAAAGCCACGACGUCUAGGGCCCCUGUUUCCUGCUGCCCACUCCAUUUCUGUCCACAUCAGUUGACCUGCUGGUUUUCCUGCCCUGCUUUCAGCACUCCUUCCUGCCAGGCAUAGAUGAGAUGUCCGGGAGUCCUUGGAGAGGCCACAGUAGCCCGAGAACUUCUCAGGCCUCCCUACGUGCCACGCCCCAGUGACUUUUGUUUUGUUUUGUUUUACUGGUUUUUCUAGCUUCUGUGUUUCGAUGUACACCUUCGAUGUUUUUUUUUUUCAUUUCUCAUGUCCUGGUGAGUCCUAUCAACUCCAGGCAGGGAGGGAGUAGCUCUAAGGUACAGAGGAAGAGAAGUCAGGGGAGUCCCCGGCUGUGAGGAGCCCUUGGUGCAGGUUUCUCAGCAUUGGCUCUGUUGCCCGUGGGACCAGAUUGUUCUUUUCUGGAGCAGGCUGUCCUGUGCCCUGUAUGGGGCUGAGCAGCAACCCCGGCCGCCUCUGCCCUACACCGUGUGUCAACCUGGAAGUGUCUCCGCACAUCGCUAAGUGCCCACUGCGAGACCGAAUCAGCCUCACUGAGAACACAAGUCUAAGAGGAAGACAGACGUGUGCCAUGAUGUGGGGUGUGUGCCCCCAGAAAGGCCAGGGCGGCAUGGUGGGAAGAAUGUCCCCUUGCGGGGGUUACAGCCUUCUGAGUCAGCAUCCUCUUGGAGCUGGUAAAGCGGGCCUCAGUUGUAACGUCACUCCCCAGAGGCCGCUCUGCUCCCACCCCUGGUUGUUCUCCUGUCACCCAGUUUUGUAUAUUGUAAAAUGGCAAAGCUCGGGUUUGAAAUUCAAAACCUGCUGUGUCUUGAUCUGGCUUGCCCUGCAGACUGAGUCCAGAUCAGGCAGGACCCUUGUCUGGCUGCUUCACAACCAUGUCCCUCUUCUGGGGUGGUGUGUGGCAAGUGUUGGAGGUGCAAGACGCAGCGUGUCAGUGGGAAGGUGACGACUCUCAGCUCCGGUGUUCCGUUCAGAGCCACCCCUGCCUCUUGGGAGCCCGCCCCUUCAGGGUCGGCUGCAGCAGCAGCCAGCUUGAACACAGUCCCUCACGGAGCAGGUGUCAACCACCUCUUCUGCUUCAGGCUGGGUUUUAUCCAGAGUCCCUGCUCUUGGGCAUGCGCACAUCAAAGCAGGGACCCUCGAGAUACAGGUAGACAUGGGGCACCUGGGUGGCUCAGUGGGUCAAAGCCUCUGCCUUUGGCUCGGGUCAUGAUCCCAAGGUCCUGGGAUCAAGCCCCACAUCAGGCUCUCCGUUCAGCAGGGAGCCUGCUUCCUCUCUCUCUGCCUGUCUCUGCCUACUUGUGAUCUCUGUCUGUCAAAAAAAAAAAAAAAGAUACAGGUAGACAGACAAGAGAUACACGAGGGACUUUAGUGAGGGAAGGGGGCCAGGGCUUGAGGGGCUGAGGGCAGAGGCCACGGGAGAGAUCAGAACCCUGCCUGUGUCUUGGGGCAGGGGUUUCCCAGGCCAGGUCUGAAGGCCUGAGGUGAUGAGUGAGCGCUUAAGAAACAGCCAGGGAGCCUGUGAGGUUGGGGGGAGAGGGGGAUACAGGGGUGAGUGUAGGGGAGAGAGUCAGGAGUCAGGAACCUGUGGAGAGUUCCAGAAAGGCCACUCUGGCUGGGGUGCCAGAAGUGGACUGGGGGGCAAGAGAGGAUCUGGGGGCCAGGGAGGGGUCCUUGGUGAUCCAGGCAGUGAGCAGCGUUGUGGCCCUGGGGACGAGGAGUCCGUGAGAGUGGGAAGUGCAGGGAGAUUCCAGGAUGCCUCAGCCUCUGGGUGAAGGUGGCAGCACCUGCGGUGAGGGAGGCCUAGGAGCAGUGGGGGCGGCAGGGAAGCUGCUCUGCGUUUGGAAUGUGCUGUUUGAUGAGGGGUCUCACACGCAUCCAGGAGGGGCUGCGGCCACUCAGAGGGUGGUCUGUGCAGGGUUGCUCCCUGGUGUCUAGUAGGACUAUACCAGACUAUGCCUGAAUGAAGCCACUCCCGGCAGGCACAGAUGAGAAAAAUCUGGAUUAUUCUGGAAGGUUUAGAGCAGGGUUUGGCCCAGGAGCCAAAGCCAGCUUAUAUUUGUAUGGAGAGUGGUUUUUACAUAUUCCAGAGAUUAUAUUAAAAAUGUUUUUAAAUUGUGACAAGAUUCAUGAUAACAUAAAUGGAUUUUUUUGUAACUGAAGUAUAUAAUUCGGCGGGUUUGCGCAUACUUACCUUAUCUUACAACCAUCCCCCCCUCAAUCCCGGAACAUUUUUAUCACCCUGGAAAGAAACUGUAUCUCACAGUUCUCCUCUCCCAGCAGCCCCUGGCAACCGCUAAUCCACUUUGUCUUUGCAGACUUGCCUGUUCCGGACAUUUCGUUUCAGUGGAAUCCUAUGUAACUUCUUGUGUCUAGGUUCCUCUGCUCAGCAUUACGGUGUCGAGGUUCACCCUCACUGUGGCCUGUGGGUCCGAGCUACAUUCCUUUCUGUAGUUGAAGAAAUGUCCAUCGCAGCAAUGCUGCACGUGUGUUUAUCCAUUCCCGGUAGCCGUUUGAGUCGUUUGCAUGGCUGUUUGCGAUUCUUGGGUCCAUACCUGAAAGCGGAGUUGCCGGGUCACGUGGUAACUAUGUUUAACUUACAGAGGAACCGCCAGGCUGCUGGCCAGAGCAGCUGCCCCAUUACCGUCGGGUCCUCAUUGCCAAGCCCUGGCCUUGCGGAGGCUUUUCCAUCUUGUCCCCACGCUUCAGUCCAGGGUGUGGGAGAGGGGUACGCGGAGCUUGAAAAUGCCCCCCGAGGAGGGGUGGGGAGCUCCAAUGAGCUCUCAGCCUCCUCUGAAACAAAACUCCACCCCAGGGCUGCUCCCUCUCCCACCUCUCCCUGGCUCCUUCUAGCUCCUUCUGCUGCCAGGCCAGCACACCUGGAAGGAAUGUGGUAAUCAGCAAGACAGUCCCCAGAGGGCCUUAGGAUGUAUCCCACUGCCAGGGAGAGGUGGUGUUCAGAGUUGUAGCUGCUGUGGGUCUUUUGUGUCUCUGCUUGUCUUGCCUCAGAUUUUUCUAGAACGUCUCUGUACCCACAGUUCAGGCUGAAUUGUGCCCUCUCCCCAACCACCGCCCCCAAUCCCAGUUCAUAUGUUGAAGUCCUAACCUUCAGUACUCAGAAUGUGAUUGUUUUUUGAGACCUUCACAGAGGUCAUUAAUGUAAAAUGAGCCCCUUAGGGUGUCCCCUGAUCCAGUCCGACGGGUGUCCUUACAAGAAGAGGACAUUUGGACACAUGGACCAACCCGACCCUCCAGCAGAGGGACAAUCAUGUGAGGACACACAAGAUGACUGCCCACAAGCCACCUCUGCUGAACCUUGAUCUUGGACUUCAGCCUCCAGGACUGUGAGGAAAUACAUUUCUGUCGUGUAAGCUGCCCGGUCUCUGGUGUUUCCUUAUGGCAGCCCGAGCACAGCAGUACACACCCACCACGGUGAGAGCGAGUGUGCCCAGCGAGUGCAUCUGUCCUGAUGACGGCCCUGCUCCUUUGUGCCUGCCGUUCCCCAUCCUGCUGGAGCCUUCGGGUCUGAACUUGGUGCCCUGUGCCUUCCAAGCACGAAUGGAAGCACCAAGCUGUUUGUUCCUUCAUCCGUGCGUCUGAUGAUUCCCAGCAGUGGCUGGGGCCCACUCUGUUCCAAACACUGUUCUGGGCACCUGGGCUAUGGCAGUGAACAGUGUGGAUAUUUGCCGUCUGGUCAGGGGUAGACAAGAUGAAGACAAAAUAUGUGUGUGUGAGAAGGUGACAUGUGCCACAGAGGAAGGUGGAGCAAGAAAGGGGCUCGGCGUGCUGGCAAAUGGAGGCCAUUUUGGUUUGGUGCAGAUCGUUCUGGAAGACUUGCUGAGAAGGUGCCCUCUAACAGACCCCUGGAGCUGUGCUGGAGGGUCCCUGGCCUGCUCCAGAACCAGCCCCUGUGUGUGUUGGACCCGCAGGAUACUGUAGGAGGUGGGGGGCACCCCUAACAGCCCAGUUGUGGUUUGCAGGGAGUCAUUAGAACCACACAUGAAGUUUCAGUUUAGAAACAAACACCCCCUCCUUCAAGGACAGUGGGGUCAGUCCCACGCCAGAUCAGAAUUCGGAGUGUCUAGGAGAGAGAAGUGUGUGUCUGUUUUCUGUCUUUGUGUGGCUAGAAAAGACUGCAGAGGGAGGGCAAGCACGAUGACCAGUCAGCCCCUGUCUCUUCUCUCCGGUGGCUACCCCUGAUUUAACACUGCGAGUCCCAUGGUCCUGGACAACCUGGUUGGUGGUGGCCCCACUCACCUCCAGGGUCCCCACUUGGCCCGGCACUGCUGACAGCAGGAGCCCCAAACUCCAGGGGGAUUAAACAAUCCACUUGCCGUGUA